GACGAACGCUGGCGGCGUGCUUAACACAUGCAAGUCGAACGGAAAGGCCCUGCUUUUGUGGGGUGCUCGAGUGGCGAACGGGUGAGUAACACGUGAGUAACCUGCCCUUGACUUUGGGAUAACUUCAGGAAACUGGGGCUAAUACCGGAUAGGAGCUCCUGCUGCAUGGUGGGGGUUGGAAAGUUUCGGCGGUUGGGGAUGGUCUCGCGGCUUAUGAGCUUGUUGGUGGGGUAGUGGCUUACCAAGGCUUUGACGGGUAGCCGGCCUGAGAGGGUGACCGGCCACAUUGGGACUGAGAUACGGCCCAGACUCCUACGGGAGGCAGCAGUGGGGAAUAUUGCACAAGGGGCGGAAGCCGGAUGCAGCAACGCCGCGUGCGGGAUGACGGCCUUCGGGUUGUAAACCGCUUUCGCCUGUGACGAAGCGUGAGUGACGGUAAUGGGGAAAGAAGCACCGGCGAACUACGU
rnacentral:rRNA from 1 species